rnacentral:lncRNA from 1 species
UCAGCCCCCGCUUGUGGUCAACACUCCACUGCCGGGGCAGAUCACAUCCACCCAAGUCACAAACCAGCACCUGCUCAGAGAAUCGAAUGUGAUGUCCGCCCAGGGUCCAAAACCAAUAAGAAGCUCCCAGUUGCUGCCUGCCAGCAGCCGUUCACUGAGCAGCCUGCCGUCCCAGUUCAGCAGCACAGCGUCCGUGCUCCCACCAGGCCUGAGCCUCACCACUGUCGCUCCCACCCCUCAGGACACCAGCCAGUGCCAGCCCAGCCCUGACUUCGGCCAUGAUCGGCAGCUCAGGUAUAAAGCCGGGCUGUUGAGAGGGUCAGAAAGAGGUCAUUUGCCCUUUCCUUUCAUCUCUCCUCUCUGCACAGCAAACUUCCAAGGCUCCCCAGUCGAUCUCAGCUCCGGAGGCAGCAGGGAAAACCUUGGGAUCCUAAAGUUCACGGAUGUGACCCAUCAUGUGGCUCACUUGCCUUUGAGGGGCACUGUUCUAGUUUCAUUUAUGUUUCCGUAAUAAAAGCAGGAAAUUUGGUG